AUUGAACGCUGGCGGCAGGCCUAACACAUGCAAGUCGAACGAGUGGCGGACGGGUGAGUAAUGUCUGGGAAACUGCCUGAUGGAGGGGGAUAACUACUGGAAACGGUAGCUAAUACCGCAUACCAUCGGAUGUGCCCAGAUGGGAUUAGCUAGUAGGUGGGGUAAAGGCUCACCUAGGCGACGAUCCCUAGCUGGUCUGAGAGGAUGACCAGCCAGCCUGGAACUGAGACACGGGCCAGACUCACACGGGAGGCAGCAAUGGGGAAGAUUGCACUAUGGGCGAAAGCCGGAUGCAGGCAUGCCGAGUGUAUGAAGAAGGCCUUCGGGUUGUAGAGUACUGUCAGCGGGGAGGCGUUACCCGCAGAAUAAGCACCGGCUAACUCCGUGCCAGCAGCCGCGGUAAUUC
rnacentral:rRNA from 1 species